rnacentral:rRNA from 1 species
UGGAUCCAGACUUUGAUUAUGGCUCAGGAUGAACGCUAGCUACAGGCUUAACACAUGCAAGUCGAGGGGAAACGACAUCGAAAGCUUGCUUUUGAUGGGCGUCGACCGGCGCACGGGUGAGUAACGCGUAUCCGACCUGCCCACCACUUGGGGAUAACCUUGCGAAAGUAAGACUAAUACCCAAUGAUAUCUCUAGAAGACAUCUGAAAGAGAUUAAAGAUUUAUCGGUGAUGGAUGGGGAUGCGUCUGAUUAGCUUGUUGGCGGGGUAACGGCCCACCAAGGCGACGAUCAGUAGGGGUUCUGAGAGGAAGGUCCCCCACAUUGGAACUGAGACACGGUCCAAACUCCUACGGGAGGCAGCAGUGAGGAAUAUUGGUCAAUGGACGAGAGUCUGAACCAGCCAAGUAGCGUGCAGGAUGACGGCCCUAUGGGUUGUAAACUGCUUUUAUAAGGGAAUAAAGUGAGUCUCGUGAGACUUUUUGCAUGUACCUUAUGAAUAAGGACCGGCUAAUUCCGUGCCAGCAGCCGCGGUAAUACGGAAGGUCCGGGCGUUAUCCGGAUUUAUUGGGUUUAAAGGGAGCGUAGGCCGGAGAUUAAGCGUGUUGUGAAAUGUAGACGCUCAACGUCUGCACUGCAGCGCGAACUGGUUUCCUUGAGUACGCACAAAGUGGGCGGAAUUCGUGGUGUAGCGGUGAAAUGCUUAGAUAUCACGAAGAACUCCGAUUGCGAAGGCAGCUCACUGGAGCGCAACUGACGCUGAAGCUCGAAAGUGCGGGUAUCGAACAGGAUUAGAUACCCUGGUAGUCCGCACGGUAAACGAUGGAUGCCCGCUGUUGGUCUGAAUAGGUCAGCGGCCAAGCGAAAGCAUUAAGCAUCCCACCUGGGGAGUACGCCGGCAACGGUGCAACUCAAAGGAAUUGACGGA